rnacentral:rRNA from 1 species
AGAGUUUGAUCCUGGCUCAGGAUGAACGCUGGCGGCGUGUUUAAGGCAUGCAAGUCGAACGGACUAUAGAAUUUUAUUUUAUAGUUAGUGGCAAACGGGUGAGUAACACAUUAGUAACCUACCCCAAAGACAGGGAUAACUUCGAGAAAUCGAGGCUAAUACCUGAUAAGCUGGAGAAAUUAAUUUUUUUCAGUAAAGCUUUUGCGCUUUGGGAUGGGCUUAUGGCUUAUCAGCUCGUUGGUAGAGUAAAAGCCUACCAAGGCUACGACGAGUAGCGGGUGUGAGACGAUGACCCGCCUCACUGGGACUGAGACACUGCCCAGACUCCUACGGGAGGCUGCAGUCAAGAAUCUUCCCCAAUGGACGAAAGUCUGAGGGAGCGACGCCGCGUGAAUGAUGACACCCUUCGGGGCGUAAAAUUCUUUUUUCAGGGACGAACAAAUGACGGUACCUGAAGAAUAAGGGGCUGCUAACCUCGUGCCAGCAGCAGCGGUAAUACGAGGGCCCCAAGCGUUAUCCGGAUUUAUUGGGCGUAAAGCGUACGUAUGCGGCUUAAUUAGUCAUUAGUUAAAGAUCCCGGCUCAACCGGGAAAGGGCUAAUGAUACUGUUAAGCUUGAGACUGGGAGAGGCAAGCGGAACUGCCGGUGUAGCGGUCAUAUGCGUUAAUAUCGGCAAGAACACCAAAUGCGAAGGCAGCUUGCUAGAACAGAUCCGACGCUAAGGUACGAAAGCGUGGGGAGCGAAUGGGAUUAGAUACCCCAGUAGUCCACGCCGUAAACGAUGGAUACUAGGCAUUGGAAGUGUCGACCCUUUCAGUGUCGUCUAAAAUAGCUAACGCAUUAAGUAUCCCGCCUGGGGAGUACGGCCGCAAGGCUAAAACUCAAAGAAAUUGACGGGGACCCGCACAAGCGGUGGAGCACGUGGUUUAAUUCGACAAUAAGCGAGGAACCUUACCUAGGCUUGACAUCCUGCGAAUCCUCUAGAAACAGAGGAGUGCCUUUUGGAGCGCAGUGACAGGUGAUGCAUGUUGUCGUCAGCUCGUGUCGUGAGAUGUUCGGUUAAGUCCGGAAACGAGCGCAACCCCUAUUCUGUGUUAUUAUGUCACAGAAAACCGCCAUGUAUAACAUGGAGGAAGGUGGGGAUGACGUCAAAUCAGCAUGUCCCUUAUGUCUAGGGCCACACACAUGCUACAAUGGCCAGUACAAAGGGUUGCCAAACCGCAAGGUGGAGCUAAUCCCAUCAAAGCUGGUCUCAGUUCGGAUUGAGGUCUGAAACUCGACCUCAUGAAGCUGGAAUCGCUAGUAACCGUGAAUCAGCCAUGUCACGGUGAAUACGUUCUCGGGUCUUGUACACACCGCCCGUCACGUCAAGAGAGUCGAGGGCGCCCGAACCUCGUAGGUUUACGAUGGAAGGCGAAUUCGAUGAUAGGGACGAAGUCGUAACAAGGCA